rnacentral:tRNA from 2 species
GCCGGAGUGACGGAAUUGGCAGACGUACUUGACUCAAAAUCAAGCGCCCUCAAAGCGUGCCGGUUCGAGUCCGGCCUCCGGCACCA